rnacentral:rRNA from 1 species
AUUGAACGCUGGCGGCAGGCCUAACACAUGCAAGUCGAGCGGAUGAAGGGAGCUUGCUCCUGGAUUCAGCGGCGGACGGGUGAGUAAUGCCUAGGAAUCUGCCUGGUAGUGGGGGAUAACGUCCGGAAACGGGCGCUAAUACCGCAUACGUCCUGAGGGAGAAAGUGGGGGAUCUUCGGACCUCACGCUAUCAGAUGAGCCUAGGUCGGAUUAGCUAGUUGGUGGGGUAAAGGCCUACCAAGGCGACGAUCCGUAACUGGUCUGAGAGGUUGAUCAGUCAAACGGGAACGGAGAACGGGGCCAGAUCCCCAGGGGGGGAAGAGGGGGGGAAUUUUGGACAAUGGGCGAAAGCCUGAUCCAGCCAUGCGGGGGGGGGGAAGAAGGUCUGCGGUUUGGAAAGCCCUUUAAGUUGGGAGAAAGGGCAGUAAGUUAAUACCUUGCUUUUUUGACGUAACCAAUAGAAAAAGCACCGGUAAAUUUGGU